UACGUAGGGUCCGAGCGUUGUCCGGAAUUACUGGGCGUAAAGGGCGCGUAGGCGGCCUGCUAAGUCGAACGUGAAAUCCCCGGGCUCAACCCGGGAACUGCGUCCGAUACUGGUUGGCUUGAAUCCGGGAGAGGGAUGCGGAAUUCCCGGUGUAGUGGUGAAAUGCGUAGAUAUCGGGAGGAACACCAGUGGCGAAGGCGGUCUGCUGGGCCGUUGCUGACGCUGAGGCGCGACAGCGUGGGGAGAAAACAGG
rnacentral:rRNA from 1 species